GAUUUUUGAGUAGUUGAUGAUGAUCAACCAGCAGAGUUAGAUGUUGAAGAAUUGGAAAAUCUUCUAUAUGAAGAAGGGUCAAUUCCAAUAAAUGAAGUGGAAGGUUCAAGUUCUCACAUUGAUGAUGAGGAUGGUGGUGACGUGGCUAUAGAAGGGCUUGAUGUGGAGAACUUUGGUUUUCCAAAUGCUCAUGUUCAAUCUCCAUAUUCCAAUUUCCAAAAUGAAUGAAGACAUGAAUUUUAUAUUUAUUAGUAUGCAAAAAACUUCAUGAAUAUUCAAACAUUGACAUGUUAUAUUUUUAUUUUGAGUAAUUAUUUAAGUGUUGUGGACC